rnacentral:lncRNA from 1 species
UCUAAACAACCCGCAUAACAAAAUACAGUUUGUCUUACUUUAAGAACAAUAAACAUAUUGUAACGGGUACGGUUAAUGUAUCAGAAAUAGUUGCUUUUAUGUAUAACCAUAUGGACUUCAAAGCUGUUCACCAUUUCAAACAGUAUGAUUAACCCAUACCUUUCAGUAACAAUAUAUGAUACUGCUCUGAUAUUGUUAAAUUAUAUGGGAAUGGAUUCAAGCAAGAUAUGGUGAAAACAUUACGCCACCAUUCGGCAAAUUGUUUUUGUUUUAAUUUGUGCAACACACUCACAUAUUUGCAUUUGACAAUAUUGAACUACAUUUUAACAGUUCGACAAAUAGUUACAUUUUGUUGGUAUUUGUGAGCGACAAUCUAGCGUUGAGUGUAGAAAAAAAAUCGCCGUCGAAGAAAAACAGUCAAGUUAAACUGAAAUUAUAUUUAAAAAACAGCAAUUCACAUCAAAAAAUGACAACUGCGAUCGACCCAGAACUGCGCACCAAAAUCGAUGCCGCUUGCCGGAUGGAGGAGGGAUUCGCCAAACUGUACAACGAAAAAGUAGCCAAGAAGCGGCAUCAUAUGACCCGGCUCUACAUGGACAACGGUUUGCUGGUGUGGAACGGAAAUGGUGCCAACGGGAAGGACAACAUCCAGAAGUACUUCUAGGAACUGCCCCGCUUCGAAUACAUUAUGAACACCCUGACUAUAAUUGAAUCAUCGCAGGGCUGGUAGCGGAUCUAAUUUUCUAUUUUAAUUCUUUAUUCGAGUCUUUUAAAAGUGCAAAAUUAAAUGCAAAUUCCUGUGCUUUAAUAAUGUACAACUGAAGUCAGUUAUUUAAGGAACUAUGAUGAUUUGAGUAAAUAGUUGAUCAAGUUGAAGCAUUAUUUUUCUCUUCACGUAUUAAUUUGUUUCAUCAUUUCUUAUUUAAUGAAUUCAAUUCAAAUAUUUGAUUCUUAUGGUAUAACACUUACAUACCAGUAUGGGAUAGGG